CACAGCACUUUCCACAGUCCGAGUCCAAAAACCCUAACAACUGCCUCACACAACUUAAGUAGCCAACGCAACACAACCAAAUUCGAUAUUUUAUUCUGCCUAUUUGUUUACUUGUGCUUCGCCGCUUCAGCUCUCCUUCAUUACGAGAAAUAUAAUGGAAUCAAAGUCCUCAAUGCCUUCUUCAAGCCUUAUUGAUCAACAAGUGAGAGGCACAUAGUUGUAUCUCCAAGUUGUCAAGGCAGAUGCUCAUGCCGGAAUUGAGUUAUCUUGCAUGUUUACUUUGCUUCUUUUCAUUUUGUUAUUGGCACUUCUUUCUUGUUAUGUUUUGUAGCCUCUGGAAAUGUAUGGUCCUCUAAAAGAUGGGCUUAUGUUUGAAACGACGACUGGAUUAUCAAGACGGAAGGGAUUCAAGAAAUGGAAGGAUAGAGAAAGGGAUAUUCAACAAUCAUUCAAUAUCUCAAAUACUUGUAUAUAUUUCUCAAUUGGACAAUAUUGAAGAUAUGGAGAGUGAGGCCAUGAUAAGCAAAGAUAUGAAGGUGGAUGAGGGUCUUGCGAGGCAAGGGAGCAUCACCAAAUCUAGCUGCCUCUGCUCUCCCACCACCCAUGCCGCCUCCCUCCAACGGACUAAAAGCAUCGAAUCCGCCUCCGACUCACAAUCUAAGGAUACCGCGCUACUCCUCUUAUGGUUACUCAUCAGAUAAGCAAUUCAAGCAGUGCUCAGUAAAUAAAGAUAUAUACCUGUCUUUUACUCUAUUUCUAAUCUAUAUAUGUUCUCAAAUCUGUGUAAUGCAAGUUUGGAAUGGACAUGCACUAUUUGACGAUUUAUUA